rnacentral:rRNA from 1 species
UACGGAGGGGGCUAGCGUUGUUCGGAAUUACUGGGCGUAAAGCGCACGUAGGCGGCUUUGUAAGUUAGAGGUGAAAGCCCGGGGCUCAACCCCGGAAUUGCCUUUAAGACUGCAUCGCUUGAAUCCGGGAGAGGUGAGUGGAAUUCCGAGUGUAGAGGUGAAAUUCGUAGAUAUUCGGAAGAACACCAGUGGCGAAGGCGGCUCACUGGACCGGUAUUGACGCUGAGGUGCGAAAAGCGUGGGGAGCAAACAGG